GAGCACCAUGAAGUAUAAUUCUUUUUUUUUUCAUAGUUUCCCCCACUUAAAUGUUUCAGAUCAUCAAACUAAUGCAAAGCUCAGACAAGGAUAACGUCAGGAACAAUAAGAUUCAGUUUUUAAAUAAUCAUUUCAAAAUUAUUCAAAGCCUGACCGCAUUUGGAAGAAGUAUUUUCCCCCUUAUUCGAUUUAACGGAGUCAACCUUUUUCAGUUCAUUUUCAUUGACCACACCCAAGCCGGAUUACCCCCCGACCAGUUAAAUCCCCUAAAUACAUCCUGUCUGUCAAAAUGAUGUCAGCCCAAAGCAAAGAUCUCAAAAAGCAGCAACAAAAGUCCAUAACCCAAAGAAAAACUAAUUGACCAUCUCUCAGUCUGGAAACGGUUAGCAAGUCAUUCCCAAAUCUUCAGGACUUGAGCAAAUCAUGAUGAGAACCAUUUAUUUACAAAUGGAGCAAGCAUGGAACAGUGACAAACCUCCCCAGGAGUGGCCACUUCCCAGAAAGACAAAAACGGUGCCAGCUUUCGGUCUGGUUUUGCACUAAUGCAACCUCAUUGGUGCCUGUUGAGUUUGUGAAGAGCUUUAAUGGACUGUCAAGUAUUUCUUCCGUGUCUGUUCAAAACAUAUGCCCCGAUGAGUUCUGCCCAAAUAACUCAAAUGUGCUAAAUGGUGGAAUUGUUAAGUUCCUGCCAUAUAAAGUCUGUCCAAGUGCAUCGGUCACAGGGACACAAAAAACAUGUGCUUGCCUGUGGAGGGGGGAGGAGGGGGGCACCUCUGUAGGUUGUGAUUGCAUCACUACCCUCGUCGCACUUUGAAAUGUGCUGGAACAAGCACUGUUCCAGAAGAGCUGUUUAGUCUAUCAUUAGAUGUUGCUGGGAGGCUCCCGACAGGACUUUGCGAUCCAUUUUUUGCAAGUGUUUAAAUUUCCUUUAAACUCCUUUCUCUUGUCUUUUGGCGCUUUCCCCUCCCCUGCGACAAUACCUAGCAUUUCAUUUGUUAUUAUUCAUGAUGUAAUUAUUUCAUUGCGUUGUGUCUUCCAAGGCAUUUGCUGCUCAGUGGCCUGCAUCACUGACCCUAAGGUGGUCGGCUCUUGACAACGGGGCCUCAAAGUGAUCCUCGACUGCGGCACCGCAUGUUGCGCAUCAGUCAACAUCGAGCAGGACUGGCGCUGAAGGAGGAUACUAUGGUCUCGUCCUCCCUUCCCAUCUGCCCCGGCACUGCCCCCCCCCCCCCAAGUUUGCGGCCCUGACAGGCCGGGUUGCCACGGUGAUGGAUGACCGUGCACACAGUUCUGGUGUCACAGUCCUACACCUUUUCUGCCUGCCACGUGGGUCCACCGGCCCAGACUUCCUUUCGGCUCGCAAGUGUGACGAAAACUCUGAGAAGAGUCGCAAAAUUCUCCCAAGCAAACGUUCAUUCUUCUUUUUUUCCUUCCACUUUCAUUCUUCUAUGUUUUGGCACCCUUGCAUUGGUAUCAAAAAAUGAGCGGUGUUUCCAAAUGGGUAGGUUGAUGGUUUAAAGAUCUUGAAAAGAGACAAGAAGAAACGUAAAAACACAGCAUAAGAGAAGAUUUUUGUUAACAAGCCUGUCAAAUGUAAGUGAUUCUAAAAAAAAAAAAAAUAUGGAAGCUGCCUUCCAGUUUUAGAAUAUGACUAUGACUGUAAUCAGCCAAUUAGUCCGUUCUUUAUUGGAAAGCAACAUCUUCCGCUACCGGGGACUCGUUAGUGUCUUCUAAUGAGCCUUUAGCUUGCCACCAGAAGCCUCGUCAAGCAUUAUUAAUUAAGAGGCCAUUUUCUGUGCAGGCCUCCUAAUCUGAACACAUUGACAUGUAUCUAUAAGACUAUGAAGCGCCCUGCUGUUAAUUCAGCCGCGCGCGCAAUCUGGCUAAGGCACGUUUGUUGUUGUUUUCCACUAGAUCUAUCUGCAAUAUGUAGUAAUAAGUCACGCUUGUGCGGCGCGCUGUAAAUGUCUUUGGGCUGCUUUUAAAAAUCACAUCUUCCUAACUGGAUUUAUCACACUAUUAACGUGUCGCUGGGAACAAGGCACAUUUAAUCGCUUAUUCUUUAUGAGGAGAGCAGAGGGAGCAUAUUUAGCACUCGAUCAGCACGCCGUAGAAAUCCCUGUUUGAGCAUCAGCGAAUGACUGGGGGAAAAAAAAAAAAACGUGACAGGUCGCUUUAAUUGGUGCACAAAUUCCCUCAAUACUUACAGGAACAAAGUGAUGGUGGUGGGGUGAAAAGCACAAGCUGUCAAAUAAAAAAAAAAUGUUAAACACAAAUAGGGGACAAGUGAUCCCGCGCAUAACAGCCCACAGAUCAACACAGAUGUAAAUAUUUGCCUGAGGUGUCGCCUCAUGGAACAAAGAUCAUUUAAACUUGCACUAUAAUGCACUGAAUGGAUAAAAUAAUUUGGAAAACUUACUUUUCAAUUGUUCAUAAACUAACAUGAUAUAUGUGUGAAUGUCAUCAUGGGUCACCAAUUGGAGCUUUGAAUUUUUCCUUCAUGAUUUCCUGAAAAACUCACAUAUCAGGCCAAAACCAUGUCUAAAUAUAUUGCUUUCCUUUCGUAGAACCUUUGGGCCAAGGAACUAGAUUUAUGUCAAGCCAUAGCUUCGUCUAAUCAAAAAUAUAUAUACAAAUAAAAUGCAAUCUGAUUCUGAACCUGCAGGUGAAAGGAACAUGAUUGGAUGUCCUAAAUAGUACUACAGAAAAGACUGUCAGACUGCCUAGUUGCAUCGUAGGUACCUCAUGAUGGAGAGACUGGGAAUCAAACAUCCAACUUUGGGUUUGCAGAACAUGUUUGGCUUUAUGGAGCUCGCUCAUCGACGACAGUGUGCUUACCAUUUCAGCGUCAAAAGAACACAUCUCUGCCGAUCGAUUAGCCAGUCCCAUCGUGUUAAUUCCUAGUCUAGUUUUUGAAUCAAUUUAUGACCCCUCCAUGCAUUUUAUCUCUUCAAAACUUUUCUAUUCGACUUAUACCACAAUACAAUACAAUUAGUGAAUAACAGGAUGGAGCGGUUUAAUCUCAUAGAGAAACUUCCAGCUGUUCCCCGCGGCAGAUUGGCGUCAAGUAUUCCGACUGUAUGGAAAUUCCGCCUAACAGCAGUCAAGACCUCGGCUUAUCUCCGAUGCACAACUGUUUAAGGCACCUGAGACUCUUUCACAACCACCCUUCUCCCUCCUUCCCUUCUUGCGCUCACAGCGCAAGCGUGACUGAUUCCGUCUCAUCGUUGGCGCAGUGCGAAUGCCGUCAACACCUCGGCGAGAGCAAGGGAAGACAAACUAGGAGUAACAAUGGCAGACGACAAACGGUGACAGUACAGUGUCUCUGACAUUGUUUGCAAUGAUGGCAGUGAACGUAGGAGGCAAAUUCACAACGGGAUGUGUUGACUGCUUGGAGUCAGAGGAGACACUUCGACUGGAGGCUAAGCUGCUUUUCAUCGUAAAAUGACAAACCUCCACCUGGGAAGUCCUAAGUUGGAUCAUUACUAACCUUCCUCUUGCAUUGCAGUAUUCAUUAAAGAUGCAUGCAUUAUUACCUGCAAAAUUAAGGACACUGAUGUCUUCUACUUUCUAAUAAACUUCUACAAGAACUAAGGAGAAUGAAGAAAAUGAUAAGCUUUACAAGAGUACAUUGACAAAUGUUAUUAGAGCACAAAAAAAAAGAACUAUUACAUUAAAUCACCAGAGGAGUUUAAUUAUGAUGUAAAGGACCUGGAAGAUGAUGAAUCAUAAAAGAGAAGUUUAAGAACGUUAUUAGGAUAACAGGCUAUCAGAGUUGGCUUGUUCAUGUGUAACCAGAAUGUUUCCUUGACUCACAGAACAACAAUAAGGACAGUAAACUGACAAGCGAGCAGUCAGAAAGAUGGAGAUGAACUUUUGGACAAAAGACAUCAAGAAACAAUCACAAUGGGAAUGUAUGAACGACACAAAAGAAAGGCUGACAAGCCAAGUGUGCCAGCCUGAUAUUAUUGGCAUUGUGUUCUGUGGUAGGAUGAUGACAGCCCUUGUUUGAGCCCUACAAGCUCUUGCACCCCCACCUAUGUCUGCACAAUAGCCAUCUGAUGACUGAGUGAUUGGAGGAGGAAUGAAGUGAAAUGCAAAAGAAAAACAAAAAAAGAAGAACAUCUGGUGAUGGAGGAGAAAAGGGUGAUGAGGAGGCGUGAAGAACACAGCCUUGAUGCAGCUGCAAUUAAGGCGGCCAUUUUGUUCCUUGAAUAUGGUAAUUUGUCCCUUUUUUGUGAGGGCUUGAUUGGCCUUUGCAGUGCGCAUCACGCCGGCCUGGAAGUUUGCAUAAUCACAGCGAGAUUUUAAGAAAAAAUCCAUUUUUAAAAAUUUUUUGCAGCUACAUCUUCUUCACAUGCAUGACUGACUCAUUCACUAAGCAAACACCAGUGAGCUUUACAGCUCUUCCUUUAUAUGUACACAUAUGACCUUUAAAUACAAGAGAAGAAAUUUAGACCUUUAUUAGGGUCAGUCAUAGCUAGCUGUGACGUUGCUAAAGAUAAAUAACGAUGAUUAAUCACACACAUUAUUAUCAUAUCAGUCCCAGUCAGACACAAAAUCACUCCCAUGGGAAGUUUCAUUACAUUGCAUUGACACACCUGAACUGUUUUUU